GGCAAAUUUGGCAUGUGAUACCUUUUCGGAAAGCCCAAAGAGAGCUCUCCAACUAAUGAGGAAGGAAAAUAGAAUUCUUCUAUUGGUUUUUUUUUCUACUCCAAAUUUUGACCUUAAUGUACUUUUUCGGGCCUUUUAAUGAUCUUUGCUAUAGUACGGGGCGAAAAUUAUAUGUUCGGACAUUGUUUUCGAAUAUUUUGUAUCUAUCAAAGCUCUUAUAAACAAGAUAGGGUAUUCCUACAUAACUGGUCGAACCCACGGCAAAUGGAUCAUAAAGUCUUAAAAAAAGAAUAGAUACGAUUGCAUUGCAUGUAGUAACAGCUACGAUCAUACCAGCACUAAUGAACCGGAUCCCAUCAGAACUCUACAGUUAAGCGUGCUUGGGCGAGAGUUGUACUAGGAUGAGUGAGCUCCAGGAAAGUCCUCGUGUUGCAUCCCUCUUUUUUUCGGUUUUUCUCUUUUUUUAUGUUAAAAAUAAAUGACUCCAUAACUUAUAC
rnacentral:rRNA from 1 species